CGGAGACGUGUAUAAGAGACAGAGAGAGGCAGAACAAGCACAGAAUAAAAUUUCUGAUCAAGACCAGACCCAGGAUCUAUGUAACUUUUGUUCCGAGCAAUCGUUACUUUAGGCAGUCUAUAAACAGAGCGAUCAGGUAAUUGUCUAUGAAUUGUGUAACACUCCUAAGAUUGUUAUUUGGACUUAAUAAAGCAAUGUCAGAAAUCUUUA